CCUCUCCCUCUCCCUCUCUCUCUCUCUAUAUAUAUAUAUGUAUAUCAUCUCUCUCUAUAUAUAUGUAUAUCAUUAUUCAAAUUUAAAUGAAACCCAAUUAGAGUAAGUUCUUAAAUAUUGAAUUUCUGCAAGAUUCUUGAAUGUUUACUAUCAUUUACAGGAAUUCCUUAAAUGGGUAUUCGUACAUGUGAUGAAAUUGUUUCUUUUUUCUUUUUCUACAGAUUUUUUAUAUAAGAAGACUAUAAAGAUUGUUUGAUUUCUUGGGAAUUUUCUUGGAUUGUGAGCAAUGGAUGAGGAGAAGAGAGAGAGUGGUGCAACAGAGAAAGCCAAGAGUACUACUACUGCUGCUGUGGAUGAAGCUCUGAAGAAAUGUAUGGAGGAAAACAGAGGGGACAGAAGUAAAUGCAAGUCAAAAGUUGAAGCUUUCAAGUCCAUUUCUUCUCAGAAGCCAGUUACUCCUUUAAUGCUCAGGAGUGGGCCAUUGACUGAUGUAUGAAUUUCUGUCUUUUUUUGGGAAUUAUGAAACUGAUUUAUUACAAAUAGUAUUUCUAGUGGAAAAUUUGUUAUUCAUCUAAUACAGCAUUCACUCUCUUCCUCUUAAGUUUUCUUAAUACUUGAAAGAAAAUGGUGAAAUAUUUUCUACAGGGGUAAAAAUUUAAGCUUUGUUAUCUCUAUAAUAUUUACUCUUUUAAUUCUCUAUAGAACUAGCUUUAAUCAUAUUUGAUUAACUAAAAUGGGUAAACAUCAUUUUUAAAGAUAAUUCUUUUCUUCCCUAAGAAAGGGAUUCGAUUACUGUGAAUUCGAUUACCAUGAAGUUAACUUCAUGGUAAGUUGAUUAAUUGACCAAUACAGUGCUGACACGCAGAGAAAGACGUCAUUUCCCGCCUGUGUAUCGAUAUUGUAUUGAUUAAUUGACCAAAAUUAAUUUCAUGCUAACCACUCCCAUGAGAAAGUAGAGGGAUUAAUGAAAUUGCAAAAGUAAAUGUAUAGCUUAGCUACAAGAAGGAUUUUGUCUUCUUAGUACUUAAUGCUAUUUAAUUUCAAGAAGUGACAAGAUUGGCAUGAUAUUAUAUUUACUGUACCGACCAAAAUUGUGGGUUUAUAUAAUCCAAGAUCCCAAAGUGGGGUAUUGAGUGUUUUUUUAUCAUCUUACACUGAAUGAUUUUGUCUUUGAAUAAUCAAAUCAAUAUAUACUUUUUGGAUGCUUUUCCAUUCUUAGAUUUUGAAGCCUUGCAUAACAAAAAUAUGAGAGUGGUUAAUAUGAAGUUCACUUUGGUCAAUUGAUUAAUACAGUGUCGACACACAUACCCAGAUCGGAAGAUGAUCUCUUUGCAUGUUAAGACUGUAUUGGUCAAUUGACCAACUUACCAUUAAGUUAACUUAAUGGUAACUCGAUCCCUUAAAAUAUGGUCCACACAUUACAUUGAACAAUCUGCCCUUUUUGAUUAAGUGAAAAUAUACCUCUGUUUCAGGCUCUUCAGUUGAGUAUUGUCUAAUGCAAUCAUGUUCUUCUGGAGUAAAACUCAUUGCAACUGGGGAAUUUGGAAACCUGGGAUGGAAUAAUUUGGCUUUGAACAAGGUUUAAAUUAUAACCCUUUUUUAGGUUCUUCAUCUAGCUGUAAUUCAAGGCUGUCCUGGGUGAAAAUUUCAUUAAAACUUUGCUAUCUAGACUGCAUACAAAUCUUGGGUCUUCAUAGAUAUAUCUAUGAAUAAUACAUCUUCAACCCAAGCAACAAUGUUGAAUGCUAAACCUUCCAAAACUCUUGAAUAGCUCUCUAGAAUUGCUUGCCCCACAUCCUACAUAAAGCGAAAAUAUGGAUUUUUUAACCAUUAUAUCAUUAUAUGUUUAGUCUUUAGCACAUUAGUACCUUCAUAUGGAAAUGUAGAACUUACCCUAUUGUAUUGGAUUUUGCUCGUGUCCAAUGUUGUUUGUGAAAGUUCAGGAUAUCUUUGCUUCAAGGAAAACAGCAAACUAUCUGCUCUUUCUGCUAAGAAGGCGUUUUUGUCACUUCGGUCAAUGUCAGACAUG
rnacentral:lncRNA from 1 species